ACACUAAGAAAACCAAAACAAAAGUGAGCUUGUGGUUUGCGGUGUUUUCCCUCUGAAUUUUCUCAUUAGUAUGUCCAGAAAGGCAUAUUAGUGGAAGAGCAUACAAGAAAACCUUAACAUGUUAGGAACUUUUUCAUGUACUAGAAGGUUGUUGUACAGAAAUUUUCUUCUGAAACCAUGUCAUAAUCUUAGAUUUCCCAUUAGUUGGUUGUUGGUCAGUUCUAAAACUAUCUGUACAUUUUGCCCAAGGAAUUUGUUUUCUUAUAGUUCAUUGAUUAUUUUGGAUUAACUCAAUGUGAUCUUCCCAAUCUAAUAUAUGUACUUUUAGCUCUAAGGACUAGCAAGAGUUAAUGAUGCAGGUUGUGAUUGUGAAUGAAGUACCGGUUGUUGCUAAUUUCGUAUUUUUGUUUGUACAACUCAGGUGUUUGAUGCAUUUCUUCUCCUGAAAAGGGAUAAGUAUCUGAGGUCAUAUCGGAUCGAGUGAUAGCAGAGGGUCUCAGGCCUGAUGAAUCGAAUGUUGACGUGGGACCAGUUUUUGUGAUGUCCAGCUCAUCGUCCACUGAGGCACCGCAGAAGAUGGUCCAAGGCAAAGUUAGGAAUCUUCCUGUAGUGUGGUCAUUGCCAUGUUGGACACUGCCAUUCCUCUGUGAUGCAAUUUCAAGAAUGGAAAAGGUAGCAGAACAAGGCAGUGCUAUAGCAACUGCUGUGGAAGGGGUCGAUGGGGAAAUAGAUUUGCAGAUAGCCUUUUCCAGUUUCUCAAGGCCACCCAUGACAUAUUCUAUUCAGGCCUCUUUGAUUAACUAGCUGAUGUUAUAUUUUGGGUCCUUCAGGUUCUCAUAGAAAAUCUUCGAGAUCAUAUGUUCAAGCCUUCCUUGUUUGUCCACUAUCAUGAUUGAAAAUAGCAGGUAAAUUGGUACUGCCAAGAAUACAUAUGAUGCGAAAAUUUUGUAA